rnacentral:rRNA from 1 species
GACGAACGCUGGCGGCGCGCUUAACACAUGCAAGUCGAACGGAAAGGCCUGCUUUUCCUUGUGGAUUGCGGGUACUCGAGUGGCGAACGGGUGAGUAACUCGUGAGUGAUCUGCCCCCAACUUGGGUAUAAGCCUGGGAAACUGGGUCUAAUUCCCGAUAGGACUGCAGGGUGGUGCCUGUGGUGGAAGACGAUUUUCUAGUGGUUGGGGAUGAGCCCGCGGCCUAUCAGCUUGUUGGUGGGGUAAUGGCCUAACAAGGCGACGACGGGUAGCCGGACUGGGAGUGAGAUCGUGGACACUGGAACUGGGACUGGGUCCAGGCUCCGACGGGAACGGGAAGUAGGGAUGGUGAAUCAAUGAGCGUAAGCGGAAGGCAGCAGCGGCGAGUGAGCGUGGAGGGUCUCCGGCUUGGAGUUGUCAGCUACUUGCGAACGAGAGGAGGCUAAGUGGUUGGGCGCGUGGUGACGGUAGUGGUAGAAAAAGCACCGGCUAACUACGUG